AUCGUUGCGAUAGUAAUCCUGCUCAAUACGAGAGGAACCGCAGGUUCGGACAUUUGAUUCACGCACUCGGUCGAGCGGCCGGUAGUGCGAAGCUGCUAGACAACAAGGAGCAUAAUUGAACACACAAUAAGGAAAAGUUGUCGAUACUUUUGAAAAACUAUCGUAACUUUGCGAAAGAAAAUCAUGUGGGAAUCUAUCUCUCACUGUAAAGUGUAAAGCAUCCGCUUUGACUAUCCCCUUUCAAAACUAUCAGUUUUGUUUUUUCCGUCGAAGAUAUUUUUACAUCAUGUGGCGACUGACAAAAUAAGAGUACUUCUAUUCUGUAAAAACAUUAAAAUUGUCGAUAGUUUAAACUUUGUCAAAAUGUAAUGUGACUUUAUGAAGAAAGAUCA
rnacentral:ncRNA from 1 species